CUUGUGUCCCAGCGUCUGCCCAGUGAUUAAUAUGUUAAGCUCCAUAAAUGUUUAUUCAACGAGUAAAUUAGUGACUAGGUACUAAGUUCUUAUUCUUGUGUACAGUCACCUAUCAAAUCUUUCCACUCUUCUCUGGGCAAUUGGGGAAGCUAUGUAUAGAAAAUGGAAGAGUCUCUGUCAGCCUGGGUUACUAAGGGUGAACCUGAACUUUCUCUGAGUGAAAAAAAAAUCUAUUUUACUGAGCCACAGAGAUUUGGAUAUUCAUAUUUUAUAGCAGUAUUAACUAAUACAAGGUAUUUUUAACCUUUAAAAGAAAAGAAGAAAAAGUAGAAGUGAUACUAAUUUCCCAGAUGCCAUCCAACUCCUCUUUCACCAAUAGAUAGCAUUGAAAGGCGGGAAUCAGUGCCUCCUCCUAGUGAUAGUGCCUCAGUUGAGCAGGGCUUAUUCCGAACUCAGUAUGCAACAUCCCGACAGGGCAAAUCUAGGGAUUGCUCUCAAGUCACUAUCCAACAUCCCGAUGGGUUGAAUGGCAUGCCAAACACAGCAAUAAGCACUAUAAAAAAGCCAGGCCGCCCCGGGGUGGGGCCACGUGGCUUCAGACCAGAGAGCGGAGCUACCUUGGCCCAAGCGCUGCAGCUGCCUGAACCCCAGGGCUUCGCAGCCUUGCUUGUUUUCUCUGAACCGCAAUAGGACGGUGUUCACAGCGAUUCAAAGGGUGGCAUUGGGUUGGACGUUUUGGUUACGAGCCAGCCUAUUCCCACAUUGUACGUGAAUGUUUAAUGUGCUCUCAAAACAUGGAAAAUAAGUUUAGUGCACAUAGCUAAAUCACAAAACAUCCGAUUUCUGUUUCCUCAGGAAGUCAUUACUGCGCCACCACAUCACGUGACCUUAACAUGAUCAAUGUAUUUCUCUGCCUUGACAUUUAAAUAAACUAUAUAAAUUAAGAUAAGUAGAUUAGAAAAUCAUUCAAAUUAUACCAUAAUCUGUACAAAUAUUGUGUCCCCUGCCAGGCAAGGGACAGGGUGCGGGCGACGGCCGCGUGGCCAAGGCCCCGCAGGAAAGCGCCCAGGUCUCCCUCACUCUCCAGGUGCCCUUUGCACCCAACAGUGCGUGUGAGGAACGAACUGCUGUUUGAGCGUCCCCUGAGAUUGUGCGUAGCCCCGUGUAAAUGUAAUAGCCUCCAUGGCUUAAUUGGCUAGCAAGCGAAUUUUCCCAGAUGAAAGCAAUGUUGGGUUAGGGGACGACGGUGCAGCCACCCAGCCUUUACCAGCAGCGUGCUGCAGACGAAGGCAGUCAAGGUGUGGAGGUGAUCACGCAGGCGCAGGUCAGUUGCCGUGAUGCUCCUUGAGUCAAUGAGCUCUUUGGUCUGCUCUUCUGCUCAAGCAGAAAAUGAUCUGCGCUUCACCCUUGAGAAGCUGACAAGAACCACAGGCUUCUUCAGGCUCUAGCCUGAUUUUCUGGCUCAUAAGGCCAAAGGGAGCUGGAAAGGUCCCCACGGCAGGACUCAUGGUGGAGAGAGAAUGAUCUAGAGGAUUCAGGCCUCUGCACACUGUGUCUGGGUCCCUCCUUAAAGAAUGAUAAAGACAAGUAAAGAGCUUGAAGCAGCCUGGAGUCCAGCCAGAAACCUUUAACUGAGCUUUAAAGGAGAUGGUCACAACACUUUUCAGAAUACUGGCAAAGGCCUCCUGUGGCCAAGUUUGUCCUGGGAUGAGCAAAAUUUAAUGUUAACCUGCUGUAUCUUUGCUUUUAAUAUAUCUGCUUGCCCAUCACAAUGAUAUUAUGGUUAAUUUCACCAAUUUGGUAACCUGCCUCUUGGGAAGUACGAAAGUAAGCAAGGGCCAGGUAUGGUGACUCACGCCUGUAAUCCCAGUACUUUGGGUGGCUGAGGUGGGUGGAUUGCUU
rnacentral:lncRNA from 1 species